UACGUAGGUGGCAAGCGUUGUCCGGAUUUACUGGGCGUAAAGAGCGCGCAGGCGGUCGUUCAAGUCGCGUGUGAAAGCCCCCGGCUCAACUGGGGAGGGUCACGCGAUACUGAUCGACUCGAAGGCAGGAGAGGGAAGUGGAAUUCCCGGUGUAGUGGUGAAAUGUGUAGAUAUCGGGAGGAACACCAGUGGCGAAGGCGACUUCCUGGCCUGUUCUUGACGCUGAGGCGCGAAAGCUAGGGUAGCAAACGGG
rnacentral:rRNA from 1 species